rnacentral:rRNA from 1 species
CCUACGGGAGGCUGCAGUGGGGAAUUUUGGACAAUGGGGGCAACCCUGAUCCAGCCAUGCCGCGUGCGGGAAGAAGGCCUUCGGGUUGUAAACCGCUUUUGUCGGGGAAGAAAUCCUCCGGGCUAACACCUCGGGGGGAUGACGGUACCCGGAGAAUAAGCACCGGCUAACUACGUGCCAGCAGCCGCGGUAAUACGUAGGGUGCUAGCGUUAAUCGGAAUUACUGGGGGUAAAGCGUGAAGACACAGUUGAAAUCGCCGGGCUUAACCUGGGAACUGCAUUUGUGACUGCACGGCUGGAGUGCGGCAGAGGGGGAUGGAAUUCCGCGUGUAGCAGUGAAAUGCGUAGAUAUGCGGAGGAACACCGAUGGCGAAGGCAAUCCCCUGGGCCUGCACUGACGCUCAUGCACGAAAGCGUGGGGAGCAAACAGGAUUAGAUACCCCAGUAGUC